AGUGAACGCUGGCGGUAGGCCUAACACAUGCAAGUCGAACGGCAGCACAGUAAGAGCUUGCUCUUACGGGUGGCGAGUGGCGGACGGGUGAGGAAUACAUCGGAAUCUACUUUUUCGUGGGGGAUAACGUAGGGAAACUUAAGCUAAUACCGCAUACGACCUACGGGUGAAAGCAGGGGAUCUUCGGACGUUGCGCGAUGGAAUGAGCCGAUGUCGGAUUAGCUAGUUGGCGGGGUAAAGGCCCACCAAGGCGACGAUCCGUAGCUGGUCUGAGAGGAUGAUCAGCCACACUGGAACUGAGACACGGUCCAGACUCCUACGGGAGGCAGCAGUGGGGAAUAUUGGACAAUGGGCGCAAGCCUGAUCCAGCCAUACCGCGUGGGUGAAGAAGGCCUUCGGGUUGUAAAACCCUUUUGUUGGGAAAGAAAAGCAGCAGUUUAAUCCCCCGCUGUUCUGACGGUACCCAAAGAAUAAGCACCGGCUAACUUCGUG
rnacentral:rRNA from 1 species